AAGGUGGCUCUAGUGGUUCCCCUGUUGUUGAUUGCCAAGGAAGAGCUGUUGCACUGAAUGCAGGAAGCAGCAGUUCCAGUGCUUCGGCCUUCUACCUUCCAUUAGACGGUGUAAGUUGUUUAUGUAUCACCACUAAUAUAGUACUUCCUCAUGCUCACAGGAAGUUCUGGGAUCAUAGAAACCAGAUCAUCAUCUGCUACUUAAUCCAUUAAUUGUUUGGGGCCCUCACUCAAUCUGAUACGUGGCUGUUGGGACACAUUUGGUAGCAAGCCAGAAUCUGCUUAUAUUCCUCGCGGUACACUUCAGGUGACUUUUCAACACAAAGGUUUCGAAGAAACUCGACGUCUUGGACGCAGGAAUGAAACCGAGCAGGCGGUAUGACUUGUUUCUCCAGCAGGGGAGACUGGAAUGCUGGUUGUUGAUUCUUUGGUAAUGUUUGCUUCUUAGUUUUGUUAUUUCUAAACAUGUUUUAUUUUAUGCUAAGCUUGUUGCUUCUUCCAUUGUACUCCCUCCAUAAAGAAAUAUAGGAGUGUUUAGAUCACUAAAGUAGCGAAUUAAACGCUCUUAUAUUUCUUUACAGAGGUAGUACCUUUCUAUCUCAUACGGAAACUGGGUAAUUCUGUUAUUGCAGGUGCCAGAUGGACCUCCAGACAAACAUCUGAAACCUGGUGACGU